rnacentral:rRNA from 1 species
GAAACGACUGCUAGACUGGAUAGGAGACAAGAAGGCAUCUUCUUGUUUUUAAAAGACCUAGCAAUAGGUAUGCUUAGGGAGGAGCUUGCGUCACAUUAGUUAGUUGGUGGGGUAAAGGCCUACCAAGACUAUGAUGUGUAGCCGGGCUGAGAGGUUGAACGGCCACAUUGGGACUGAGACACGGCCCAAACUCCUACGGGAGGCAGCAGUAGGGAAUUUUCGGCAAUGGAGGAAACUCUGACCGAGCAACGCCGCGUGAACGAUGAAGUAUUUCGGUACGUAAAGUUCUUUUAUUAGGGAAGAAUAAAUGAUGGAAAAAUCAUUCUGACGGUACCUAAUGAAUAAGCCCCGGCUAACUAUGUGCCAGCAGCCGCGGUAAUACAUAGGGGGCAAGCGUUAUCCGGAAUUAUUGGGCGUAAAGGGUGCGUAGGCGGUUAAAUAAGUUUAUGGUCUAAGUGCAAUGCUCAACAUUGUGAUGCUAUAAAAACUGUUUAGCUAGAGUAAGAUAGAGGCAAGUGGAAUUCCAUGUGUAGUGGUAAAAUGCGUAAAUAUAUGGAGGAACACCAGUAGCGAAGGCGGCUUGCUGGGUCUUUACUGACGCUGAGGCACGAAAGCGUGGGGAGCAAACAGGAUUAGAUACCCUGGUAGUCCACGCCGUAAACGAUGAGUACUAAACGUUGGGUAAAACCAGUGUUGAAGUUAACACAUUAAGUACUCCGCCUGAGUAGUACGUACGCAAGUAUGAAACUUAAAGGAAUUGACGGGACUCCGCACAAGCGGUGGAUCAUGUUGUUUAAUUCGAAGGUACCCGAAAAACCUCACCAGGUCUUGACAUGCUUCUGCAAAGCUGUAAAAACACAGUGGAGGUUAUCAGUUGCACAGGUGGUGCAUGGUUGUCGUCCAGCUCGUGUCGUGAGAUGUUGGGUUAAGUCCCCGCAACGAGCGCAACCCUUAUUGUUAGUUACCAGCACGUAAUGGUGGGGACUUUAGCAAGACUGCCAGUGAUAAAUUGGAGGAAGGUGGGGACGACGUCAAAUCAUCAUGCCCCUUAUGACCUGGGCUACAAACGUGAUACAAUGGCUGUUACAAAGGGUAGCUGAAGCGCAAGUUUUUGGCGAAUCUCAAAAAAACAGUCUCAGUUCGGAUUGAAGUCUGCAACUCGACUUCAUGAAGUUGGAAUCGCUAGUAAUCGCGAAUCAGCAUGUCGCGGUGAAUACGUUCUCGGGGUUUGUACACACCGCCCGUC